rfam:Paenibacillus sp. Y412MC10, complete genome.
UGAAAUGUUUUGAUUAGAAAUAGUAAAAGCGAAAUGACUUUUCAGAGAGCCGUUGGCAGGUGCGAAACGGUAACGUCGUUCCCUUUGAACUCGUCUAUGAACAGCUGCCUGAACAUGUAGGGUUAGCCGGAGUUCCACCGUUACAGGGAUAGAUGGUGAUGGCCAUCGAAGAAGAUCAUUUUGCAUAAAAUGAAUUAGAGUGGUACCGCGGGUUCAACCCCGCCUCUAUA